CCUGCUGGUGCGCGAGGACGACGACUCGAUCGACGGCCCCGAGUCGCUGAACGGCAAGAACCUCUGCUCGGUCACCGGUUCGACCUCGGCCCAGAAGGUC
rnacentral:tRNA from 1 species